rnacentral:rRNA from 1 species
UGGGGAAUUUUGGACAAUGGGCGCAAGCCUGAUCCAGCAAUGCCGCGUGAGUGAAGAAGGCCUUCGGGUUGUAAAGCUCUUUUGUCAGGGAAGAAACGGUCGAGGAUAAUACCUUUGGCUAAUGACGGUACCUGAAGAAUAAGCACCGGCUAACUACGUGCCAGCAGCCGCGGUAAUACGUAGGGUGCGAGCGUUAAUCGGAAUUACUGGGCGUAAAGCGUGCGCAGGCGGUUAUGUAAGACAGUUGUGAAAUCCCCGGGCUCAACCUGGGAAUUGCAUCUGUGACUGCAUAGCUAGAGUACGGUAGAGGGGGAUGGAAUUCCGCGUGUAGCAGUGAAAUGCGUAGAUAUGCGGAGGAACACCGAUGGCGAAGGCAAUCCCCUGGACCUGUACUGACGCUCAUGCACGAAAGCGUGGGGAGCAAAC